UUAUUACUUAAGCCCUAAAGUCUCUAGUUGUGUUUCUAUAAUAAGGGAGAGGGAAUAGAGGCAAAGAGAUCUCAAUGGGACAAGUGCCCACCGCUUUGUUUCUUCACUCAUAAACUUUGGUUCUCUUUCUACUUCAUUCUCCUUCACUGUGUCCUCACCUAAGGAAUUACAAAAUAAGGGACCUAAUAUCUGUUGCCUUCAGGUUGUGAUGGAUAGUGUGCUCAUUAUAAUGAAGGCCACGAUGGAAAGAAACAUGAAGCUAAGUGUGGAAUCAUUGAUGACUUUUAAUAAAGAUCAUCAAAGAAAGUGGUCAUCAUCAUAAUAUCAAACCAAAAUGUACCCUCUUGUACAGGACAAGGAUAAAAUAACCAACCAAACAAAUAGGUUGAUGUUGUUGUGUUCUUGUGCUGUUGCUGAAGAGAGUUCCCCUUGACAACUUCAAAAUUUGACUUUGUUUAAAUUAAUCAUUUGCUGAUCACUCAACAUGAUCACGGCUUUAACCUCUUUUUGUUCUUCAUCAUUUUAAUAGUACUCAUGAGUUUUAUUUUAAAUUUGGAAUAAAAUGUAAUAAAUAUAUUUUGAUAUUUUAAUUAUUGCCGUGAGAGAUUAUAGUUUUUGCUGUUUGUUUGUUAGAAAUUAAGUUUGCUGAACUUUGAAUU